rnacentral:rRNA from 1 species
UGGGGAAUAUUGCACAAUGGAGGGAACUCUGAUGCAGCGACGCCGCGUGAACGAAGAAGGCUUUCGAGUCGUAAAGUUCUUUUAUAUGGGAAGAUAAUGACGGUACCAUAAGAAAAAGCCCCGGCUAACUACGUGCCAGCAGCCGCGGUAAUACGUAGGGGGCUAGCGUUGUCCGGAAUCACUGGGCGUAAAGGGUUCGCAGGCGGAAAUGCAAGUCAGGUGUAAAAGGCAGUAGCUUAACUACUGUAAGCAUUUGAAACUGCAUAUCUUGAGAAGAGUAGAGGUAAGUGGAAUUUUUAGUGUAGCGGUGAAAUGCGUAGAUAUUAAAAAGAAUACCGGUGGCGAAGGCGACUUACUGGGCUCAUACUGACGAUGAGGAACGAAAGCGUGGGUAGCAAACAGG